rnacentral:rRNA from 1 species
AACGAACGCUGGCGGCAUGCCUAACACAUGCAAGUCGAACGAGAUCCUUCGGGGUCUAGUGGCGCACGGGUGCGUAACGCGUGGGAAUCUGCCCUUAGGUUCGGAAUAACAGUUAGAAAUGACUGCUAAUACCGGAUGAUGACGUUAAGUCCAAAGAUUUAUCGCCUGAGGAUGAGCCCGCGUAGGAUUAGCUAGUUGGUGUGGUAAAGGCGCACCAAGGCGACGAUCCUUAGCUGGGCUGCGAGGAUGAUCAGCCACACUGGGACUGAGACACGGCCCCGAAUCCUACGGGAGGCAGCAGUGGGGAAUAUUGUACAAUGGGCGCAAGCCUGAUCCAGCAAUGCCGCGUGAGUGAUGAAGGCCUUAGGGUUGUAAAGCUCUUUUACCCGAGAUGAGAAUGACAGUAUCGGGAGAAUAAGCCCCGGCUAACUCCGUG